UACAGAGGGGGCAAGCGUUGUUCGGAAUUACUGGGCGUAAAGGGCGCGUAGUCGGCCUGCUAAGUCGAACGUGAAAUCCCUGGGCUCAACCCAGGAACUGCGUCCGAUACUGGUUGGCUUGAAUCCGGGAGAGGGACGUGGAAUUCCAGGUGUAGCGGUGAAAUGCGUAGAUAUCUGGAGGAACACCGGUGGCGAAGGCGACGUCCUGGACCGGCAUUGACGCUGAGGCGCGAAAGCCAGGGGAGCAAACGGG
rnacentral:rRNA from 1 species